UACGAAGGGGGCGAGCGUUGUUCGGAUUUACUGGGCGUAAAGGGCGCGUAGGCGGCCCGCUAAGUCGAACGUGAAAUCCCCAGGCUCAACCUGGGAACUGCGUCCGAUACUGGCAGGCUUGAAUCCGGGAGAGGGAUGUGGAAUUCCAGGUGUAGCGGUGAAAUGCGUAGAUAUCUGGAGGAACACCGGUGGCGAAGGCGGCAUCCUGGACCGGUAUUGACGCUGAGGCGCGAAAGCUAGGGGAGCAAACGGG
rnacentral:rRNA from 1 species